UGGGUGUGCAAGGGGGGGGCACUGGUGUGGGUGUGCAAGGAGUGGGGGCACCCAUGUGGCAUCCCUGGCACUGGUACGGGCGUGCAAGGGUGGGGGCACUGGUAUGGGUGUGCAAGGGGGGGGGCACCCGUGUGUGGGGGUGUGCAAGGGGUGGGGGCACCGGUAUGGGGUGUGCACGGGUGGGGGCACCCGUGUGGCAUCCCUGGCACCGGUACAAGUGUGCAAGGGGUGGGGGCACUGGUAUGGGUGUGCAAGGGGGGGGGCACCCAUGUGUACGAGUGUGCACAGGGUGGGGGCACCCGUGGGUGUGGGUGUGCAAGGGGUGGGGGCACCCAUGUAUACGGGUGUGUACGGGGUGCUGGCACCGAUAUGAGUGUGCAAGGGGUGGGGGCACCCAUGUCUAUAGGUGUGCAGGGGGGGGCACCCGUGUCUAUAGGUAUGCAAGAGGUGGGGGCACCCUUGUGGCAUCCCUGGCACUGAUAUGGGUGUGCAAGGGGUGGGGGCACCCGUGUGUGGGGGUGUGCACAGGGUGCCGGCACCCGUGUGGUGGUGCUGGCACCAAUAUUGGUGUGCAAGGGGCUGGCACCCACCUGGCACCACUAUAUGGGUGUGCACAGGGUGCCUGCACCCAUGGGGCACCGCUAUAUGGGUGUGCACCGUGGUGCCAGCACCCACGUGCCAUUGUUAACACCAAGAUGAGUGUGCACAGGGUGCCAGCACCACAUGGCACCACUAUAUGGGUGUGCACAGGGUGCUGGCACCUGUGCCAUUGCUUACACCAACAGAGUGUGCACAGGGUGCCGGCACCCAUGGGGCACCAACACGAGUGUGCACAGGGUGCUAGCACCCACAUGGGCACCACUAUAUGGGUGUGCACAGGGUGCUGCCACCCAUGUGCCAUCGCUUGCACCAACACGAGUGUGCACAGGGUGCCAGCACCCACGGGGCACCACUAUAUGGGUGUGCACAGGGUGCUGCCACCCAUGUGCCAUCGCUUGCACCAACAUGAGUGUGCACAGGGUGCCAGCACCCAUGGGGCACCGAUAUAUGGGUGUGCACAGGGUGCUGGCACCUGUGUGCCAUUGCUUACACCAACACGAGUGUGCACAGGGUGCCGGCACCCACGGGCACCACUAUAUGGGUGUGCACAGGGCGCUGGCACCCACGUGGCACCAAUAUAUGGGUGUGCACAGGGUGCCAACACCCAUGUGGCACCAAUAAUAUGGGUGCAUGUCAGGGUGCUGCACCCGUGUGCCAUCCUUCACCAACACGAGUGUGCACAGGGUGCCGGCACCCACAGGCACCAACACACGGGUGUGCACAGGGUGCCAGCACCCAUGUGGCACCAUUUAUGGGUGUGCACAGGUGCCAGCACCCACGGGGCACCAUAUAUGGGUGUGCACAGGGUGCCAGCACCCACGUGCCAUCACGUACACCAACACGAGUGUGCACAGGGUGCCAGCACCCAUGGGGCACCAAUUUAUGGGUGUGCACAGGGUGCCAGCACCCACAUCCCAUCACCCUCCCGUCCCCUCGCGUGCCCCCAUGGGUGCCGACACCCCCCCCCCCUUGCACAUCCCGUGCCCACCCCGCGGCCCCGCUCUGCAAAACCCCAAGGGGUUUUGGGGACGGUUUUGGGACUUUUUGGGGACACGGUGGUGUUGGGGGGGGGAAUUCGGUGGCCGUCCGGUGCCCCCCCCCCGGGGCCGGAUCCUGCCAUCUGGCCCCCGCCUCCGCCGGCCGCUUAAACCGAGGCCGCCCGGGGGCUGAUCCAAUUUGUGGGGUGGAUAUUUUGGGAACAAGCGGCCCUGUGUUGCGCGGCCCCGCUGACCCCGCUCCGUGCCCUCGUCACCUAGGGGGGGGCCCUGACCUCUGUGCCCCCCCCCGCUCCAUGAGAUGCCUCGGGGGCCAGGGCCUUGUCUGGGCCACCUCCGAUCCUUUUUGUCUGGGCCCUCUGUGUAUAAGGUGCCCCAAAUCCUGCCGGGACCCCCCAAAAUGUCCCAGGAUACCCCAAAAUGCCCCAGGAAUCCCCCAAAAUGUCCCAGGACCCCCCAAAAAUGUCCCAGGAUCCCCCAAAAAUAUCCCAGGACCCCAAAAUUCCCAGGACCCCCAAAAAUGUCCCAGGAUACCUCAAAAUGUCCCAGGACCCCCAAAAUGUCCCAGGACCCCCCAAAAUGCCCCAGGAUCCCCCAAAAUGUUCCAGGAUCCCUCAAAAUGUCCCAGGAUACCCCAAAAUGUCCCUAGAUCCCUCAAAAUGUCCCAGGACCCCCCAAAAUGUCUGAGGACACCCCAAAGCAUCCCAGGAUCCCCAAAAUGUCCCAGGCCCCUCCCAACCCCAUCCCGCUCUGCCCCCCCCCCCUUGCUCCCAGGCCCCCCCCCCUCAGAGCCCCAUGCCCGGUAUUGGGGUGCUCCCAGUAUGGGGCCGGGCUUGUGCAGCUCAGCCCCACAGCAGUAUGGGGGCACUGGGGGGGGUCUGGAUCCCACUUUGGGGUCCUGGGAGAGGGAAGUGGGGGGGCCUGGUGUGGUAUCCUGGGAGAGAACCCCAGUUUGGGGUCCCGGUUUGGGGUCCCAGUUUGGGAUUCCAGUUUGGGAUCCCAGUUUGGAGUUUCAGGAUAAAAUCCCGGUUUGGGGUCCCGGUUUGGGAUCCCAGUUUGGGAUCCUGGCUUGGGGUUUCAGGAGAGAACCCCAGUUUAGGGUUCUGUUUUGGGGUUCCAGGAGAGAAUCCCAGUUUGGGAUCCUGGUUUGGGGUCCUGGUUCAGGGUUCUGGAAGAGAAUCCCAGUUCGGGAUCCCCGUUUGGGAUCCCAGUUUGGGGUUUCAGGAGAGAAUCCCAGUUAGGGGAUUCCGCUUUGGGGUCCCAGUUUGGAGUUCUGGCAGAGAAUCCCAGUCUGGGAUCCCAGGAGGGACUCCCAGUUUGGGGUCCUGGUUUGGGGCGCUGUUGCAGGAUCCCGUUGUGGGGUCCUGGUGUUGGUCCCAGGAGCAGAUCCCAGUGGGGCUCCCAGUUUGGGGUGCUGGUGCAGGGUCCCCAGUGCAGCAUCCCGGUCCUCCCGGGAUUUUGGGUCCCGGGGGGAGGAUCCCAGUGGGGAUCCCAGUUUGGGAUCCUGUUGGGGGUCCUGGAUUUGGGUCCCGGUGCCGGAUCCCAGUACUGGGACCCGGAAUUUGGUCCCGGGGGAGAAUCCCGGUGGGGAUCCCAGUUUGGGGUCGCGCUUUGGGAUCCCGGGGGAGGAUCCCGGUGGGGAUCCCGGUUUGGGGUCACGCUUUGGGAUCCCGGAGGAAGAUCCCAGUGGGGAUCCCGGUUUGGGGUCGUGCUUUGGGAUCCCGGAGGAGGAUCCCAGUGGGGAUCCCGGUUCGGGGUCGCGCUUUGGGAUCCUGGGGGAGGAUCCAGGUGGGGAUCCCAGUUUGGGAUCCUGCUGGGGGUCCUGGAUUUGGGUCCCGGUGCCGGAUCCCAGGGGAGGAUCCGGUGGGGAUCCCGGUUUGGGGUCACACUUUGGGAUCCCGGUGGGGAUCCCAGUUUGGGAUCCUGCUGGGGGUCCUGGAUUUGGGUCCCGGUGCCGGAUCCCGGGGGGGAGAAUCCCGGUGGGGAUCCCACUUUGGGAUCGCGCUUUGGGAUCCCGGGAGCGAAUCCCGGCGUGAGGACCCUUUUUGGGAUCCCGGUCGAAAAUCCCCCCUUUGGGGUCCCUUUUUGGGGUCCCGUUUUUGGGGUCCCGCUGCGCUCUCCGGAGCCGCCCGUUCCCCUCGCUCCGCCCGGCGCCGCGUUCGCAGCCGGGAACGGGGCCGGGGAGCUACCGGGGAACGGGGACGAGGGGAAGGGGAAGGGGAAGCGGGGGUCGCACGGCUCCGUUUCACCGACCCCAAUCACCGGGGGGGGUCCCCGGGGGUCCCCGGGGUCCCGACGCCCGAGGGGCGGUGCCCGCGCACCGGGCGCGGCUGCGCAAAGCCCGGGCGGCGGCGGGAGGCAGCGCUCGGCGGGGCCGGCACCGGCACCGGGACCGGAGGUCUCCCUCCGCCGGGCGCCGCGUCCUGGCUGGGCGGCCGGCCGGGCAGCCAUGGGGAGCAUCUACAAGGAGUAUUUCAACACGGAGAAGAUUCGGGAGCACUACAACUUCACCAAGGAGGAUUCGGAGGGCU